rnacentral:ncRNA from 1 species
CUAGUCUUCGGUGGUCGCCGCUUAUUCGGCGACCGGGCUUGGAAACCCGAAGA